rnacentral:rRNA from 1 species
CACAUGGGUACCUACCUUGAGGUGAGGAAUACCACCGAGAAAUCGGUGACAAGACCACAUAGCCUUCUUGCCAAAGAAGGAAAGUCUCGCCAGAGACGCCCCAAGAUGGGCCUGUGCCUGAUUAGCUGGUUGGUGGGGUAAGAGCCUACCAAGGCCACGAUCAGUAGCUGGUCUGAGAGGAUGAUCAGCCACACUGGGAUUGAGAACGGCCCAG